GUCUACAGCCAUGCCACCCUGAACAAGACCGAUCCCAUCUGUUCUCGGAAGCUAAGUAGAGUCGGACCUGGUUAGUACUUAGAUGGGAGACCAUCUAGGAAGAUCAGAUGCUGUAGGCG
rnacentral:rRNA from 1 species